rnacentral:lncRNA from 1 species
GAUUUAGGGUUUAAGAUUUAGUUAGAAUUUGAUUUAGAAUAAGAAUUUGGUUAGGAUUUGAUUUGGGAUUAGGAUUUGGUUUAGGAAUUAGAGUUUGGUUUAUGACUUAAGAUUUUAUUAGGAUUUGAUUUAGGGUUAAUGUCAUAGACAUAGAAAUAUAUGCUCGAGAUCUAACAAGAAGUUCAAGAAGAAUUGGUAAGAACUAGAUUA